rnacentral:rRNA from 1 species
GAUGAACGCUAGCGGGAGGCCUAACACAUGCAAGCCGAGCGGUAUUAUUUCUUCGGAAAUGAGAGAGCGGCGUACGGGUGCGGAACACGUGUGCAACCUGCCUUUAUCUGGGGGAUAGCCUUUCGAAAGGAAGAUUAAUACUCCAUAAUAUAUUGAACGGCAUCGUUUAAUAUUGAAAGCUCCGGCGGAUAGAGAUGGGCACGCGCAAGAAUUAGCUAGUUGGGGAGGUAACGGCUCACCAAGGCGAUGAUCUUUAGGGGGCCUGAGAGGGUGAUCCCCCACACUGGUACUGAGACACGGACCAGACACCUACGGGAGGCAGCAGUGAGGAAUAUUGGUCAAUGGGUGCAAGCCUGAACCAGCCAUCCCGCGUGAAGGACGACUGCCCUAUGGGUUGUAAACUUCUUUUGUAUAGGGAUAAACCUACCCUCGUGAGGGUAGCUGAAGGUACUAUACGAAUAAGCACCGGCUAACUCCGUGCCAGCAGCCGCCGUAACAC